GUGGGAGGGGCCAGGUUGCUGGUGUGAGGGAGAGGUGAGUGGAAGUAUCUCCAAGCCAGGCAGUCCAUCGAGAGUGGUAGCAUCCGAGGCGGCCGCCAGGCUGCACUUGCUCUGGGCCACGUGGGUGAAGACAUGGGGGAAAACUGGGCCCAGGUUUGCGUGGAACCCCCGGAGAAAUCUGGCUCCAGGUGCAGAGCUGGGAGGCUCCGCUCUGAAGCAGAAUCACGCUGAGGCACAGCAGGGGACUAUGCCCACACUUAGGGAGGGGCAGAGGAGGAGACACUCACCAGGGAAACGCAGAGCCAAGAGGCCACAAGCCAGUGCUCCUGUGGAAGCCAAGACCAGGAGAGCAGGUCUCGGGAGAAUUUCCUGGAGCAGCAGCGAACUGCUAACUUUGCCAAGAAAAUGUCUUCUAUUCCCUUCGGGAGGCGAGGACAGAAGGGAGCAGGGAAGCUGACUUGCAGCCAUGUGAAGAGCUACGUAGAAGCUCUGGUCCUCACAUCGAGCAUCACUUCCUGGCUCCGGAGGGGAAGACAUGUGCUGCUUGGUCUCCAGGAUGAACUUGUCACGCUGGCCUUCUGGCAUGUACCCCACUGUGCUUGUCAUUGGAGGAGUUCGGGGCCUUCGUGUCGCCGAGGAGGCUGUGGUGCCUUUCAGGACAGCCCUGGUCUUUGUUGCCCUGCAGUUGCUUAUGGAGAAGCCUCCCCGACCGAUGGGCUUUCUCUCCUGGCCUCCUCAGCAAUGUCACAGCCUAGGGGGCAGAAGACCCAUCCUAGGGCGGCUGGUGACCUGGAUGGUGUACAGAGGGAAGAGGAAGGCGCCUGCUUCUGUUCUUCAGAGGAGCUCACGUCUUCACCUGCAGCCUGCACGUCAUCUCCCGGCUUCAGCACAGACCCUUCGGCCUCUUGUCAAUGGAGUCGCGCGGGACACUUCAGUGAGCUCCAGACCUUGUGCUGAAUCCUCCGCUUCCCGCUGUGCAGACACCUUCUGCCCGCCUCCUCGUUGACUCUGGGCUGGCCAUCCUAAGCCAAUCCUGUCACUGCUUAGCCAUUCCUAUUUCUUGUGCUGCUUUGCUAGUAAACACUGAGUGAUGUGCACACCCUCGCUUGCUAGGUGACAGCACGACCUGUCUCACUCAUCCAGCUGAUACCUGGGAGGCACCGCCCUGCGAGCAUUGUGCAUUGGUGGUGCCACCGAGAACAACAUGAAGCGGACACCAGGAGAGUUCUGGAGGCCUCUGAAGAAUGGCUCGCUGCUCUCAGCCCUGUGCAUCUGAACAGACAUCUGCCUGGUACACACACACACACACACACACACACACACACACACACCCCACUGAAAUUCACGGGGAGUGCUGCAGCGGGUAGCAGAGGUGCCAAGAACCAAGCGGGCUUGGACAGAAGACAGGAUCGUGUCCCUCUCAAGGAGAACCGCCUGGGAACCCUGCAGCAUUUGUGCCACCAGCUCUGCUGUCUCUAGGUGAGGGUUACCUGAAGGUGCUGCAUGUCCACAAUGCAGUGUCCCGUCUCUUCAGAAGGAGAGGCCUCCAUGACAGAGUUCUAAAUGUACAUCUUUCAUAUCUCCAUCACUGAUACUGGGUCAUUCAGGUAUUAUUAUAGAUAUUAAAUGUAAUGUCCCAACUAUUCCAUAUUGCAUGAUGUCUAAUUAGGGCCCCUCCCCAGAAAUUGAUGCAUUACUAGGUAGGUGUUUAUAAAUAUCUGUCAUUUCCUUCCAAUAUUUCACAUUUAUGUAAAGCCUUUCAUUUAAAAAUUAAAUAUCAACAGGAAUGGAACAUUACAUAAAGUUUAUUUUACAAAUGUUCCUGACAACUUCCCAUUCCCCUUUAUGUGCUAAACUGCCUGUUUACAGAACAAUUUCUCCUUCAUUGUGACUCUUCAAUGUUUAAUGGUGACAUUUUCUCUUUUAAAAAAAGAAAUGUCAAUAUAUUAUUUACAUUGCCUUUCAUCCCUUUGGAGUUGAAACCUAUUCUCUGGUCAUCUAAAUUUGAAU